CACGGGGGGGAGCAAGCGUUGUUCGGAAUCACUGGGCGUAAAGCGCACGUAGGCGGCUUCUUAAGUCAGGGGUGAAAUCCUGGAGCUCAACUCCAGAACUGCCUUUGAUACUGGCGAGCUUGAGUUCGGGAGAGGUGAGUGGAACUGCGAGUGUAGAGGUGAAAUUCGUAGAUAUUCGCAAGAACACCAGUGGCGAAGGCGGCUCACUGGCCCGAUACUGACGCUGAGGUGCGAAAGCGUGGGGAGCAAACAGG
rnacentral:rRNA from 1 species